GGAAAGGCGAAAAGAACCCCGGCGAGGGGAGUGAAAUAGAACCUGAAACCGUGUACGUACAAGCAGUGGGAGCACCUUCGUGGUGUGACUGCGUACCUUUUGUAUAAUGGGUCAGCGACUUAUAUUUUGUAGCAAGGUUAACCGAAUAGGGGAGCCGUAGGGAAACCGAGUCUUAACUGGGCGUCUAGUUGCAAGGUAUAGACCCGAAACCCGGUGAUCUAGCCAUGGGCAGGUUGAAGGUUGGGUAA
rnacentral:rRNA from 1 species